rnacentral:rRNA from 1 species
UACGUAGGGUGCAAGCGUUAAUCGGAAUUACUGGGCGUAAAGCGUGCGCAGGCGGUUAUGUAAGACAGGUGUGAAAUCCCCGGGCUUAACCUGGGAACUGCAUUGGUGACUGCAGCGCUGGAGUAUGGCAGAGGGGGGUGGAAUUCCACGUGUAGCAGUGAAAUGCGUAGAGAUGUGGAGGAACACCGAUGGCGAAGGCAGCCCCCUGGGCCAAUACUGACGCUCAUGCACGAAAGCGUGGGGAGCAAACAGG